rnacentral:rRNA from 1 species
UACGAAGGGUGCAAGCGUUAAUCGGAAUUACUGGGCGUAAAGCGUGCGUAGGCGGUUUGUUAAGUCUGCUGUGAAAUCCCCGGGCUCAACCUGGGAAUGGCAGUGGAUACUGGCAAGCUAGAGUGUGUCAGAGGAUGGUGGAAUUCCCGGUGUAGCGGUGAAAUGCGUAGAGAUCGGGAGGAACAUCAGUGGCGAAGGCGGCCAUCUGGGACAACACUGACGCUGAGGCACGAAAGCGUGGGGGAGCGAACAGG